rnacentral:rRNA from 1 species
UUGAAAGGGAAACGAUUGAAGUCAGUCAUACCAACGGGAAAUCAACCUUUUGAGCUCGGUCUCGUGGGUUUUGAAGAGUUUCAAAGCCUUCGGAUUCGCGGGAUUGGGAUCUCUUGGUGUACUUUUUCGUACGGUUAGUCAACAUCGGUUUUGAAUGUCAUAAAAUGACUGGAGGAAUGUAGCUUCGAUCUCGUAUUGAAGUGUUAUAGCCUUUGGUAGAUGUGAUGUUUGAGACCGAGGAUUGCAACGGAUACCCUUCAGGGCUAUUCGUCUGAUCUCUGAUACGUUGCCUUGAUGUUGAAAGCUUGCUUAUGAUGUUAGGGUAUUACGGUCAAAAGGUUAGAACGAAUUACAUUCGUUAAGGAUGUUGACGUA